GAAACCUCCUGCCUUGCCUCGUUUGAGAGACAUAGUGACAGAGAGUACACCUUUAACCAGAGGAAUUCAAAAUGCCUUGGAAGCAGGAAACAACUCCAUGAAUUCUUUGGGGGAAAAGCCCAAAUCCUAAAACCUGGUUUCACAUGGAGUGGAGCCUAGGCGAGAUGAAAUUAAAGUCCAGGUCAAGGAAGGUAGUUUCAAUCAGCCUCAAAGAAAUCCCAGAGCCAACUGGCCAACAGCUGCGUGCCCUUGGGUAACACCUGCUGGCCCGGCACAGAAAUGUUCUCAUUCUGCGGGACGCCACCUCCCACAGAGGACUGCAAACGCCCCAGGCGGCCUGGACCCGGAGUGGAGCCUCCCGGGGUGGAGACUGGACGGGGUGGUGACGGGAUUGGACGGCUGGAGUGUGCGGUCACUAGGGGGUGGGGCUAGGGCGGGCCACGUUUGGACUGCGAGGCCCGGGCCUGAAAGGAAUCCCUCUUUGGCCGGCGCCACCCUGUUCAACCCUGAUGCAAUACACUUGCCCUUUGCGUUUACCCGGGGCAAAUAUUUAACCUUUCCAUUUUUUGCACUGACUUAAUGAGUCUCGGUGUCUACCACAGGGCUUGACACAUAGCAGACAUCCGAUAUCUGUUUGUGAAUGCUCAAGCCCGUCAGCGUGUCUGUCUCCUAGGGGAGUCGUGUUCUCAGACUUGUCAGCAUUUCAGCACCCAGUUAUGACAUGUCAUGUGGGCUACUACUGGUAAAAACUGAGCAUCCAG
rnacentral:lncRNA from 1 species